GAAUCCUGCUAGUAUAGAAUCAAAAGGUAAAUGAGUACCUUAGAGCCAUAUUCCAUAAUUUUGAUUGGAAAUAGUUCUUUGCCUUGGGAAAGAUUGUGAAAUCAAGUCUAUUGUACCUAAUGAGUAUUUCAAAUAUCCUUCCUGUAUUUAUUAUUUAUUGCUGCAUAACAAAUUACCACAAAUAUAGUGGCUUAAAACAACACCUAUUUAUUAUCUUAUAGUUUCUGGGGGUCAAGAGUCUGGGCAUGGUGGAGCUCUGACGUCUGCUUCAGAGUCUAUCACAAGGCUAUAAUCAAUGUGUCAGCCAAGACUGGGGUUUAUUCUGAAGACUCAGCUGAAAAGGACCCACUUCUAAGCUCGCUCCCAUGGUUGUUGGCAGGUUCAGUUCCUUCUGGGUUGUUGGACUGAGGGCCAUUGGCUGGAUGCCAUUCUGAGUUUCUUGCUACAUGGGUCUCCCUAGCACGGUAGCUUGCCUCAUCAAAGCCACCAAAAGAGUCCACUAGCAAAAUAAGUUACAAUCUCUUGCAAUCUAAUUAUAGAAUUAGCAUCCUAUUAUGACUGCUGUAUUCCAUUGGUUCCAAGCAAGUUUCUAAGCCAGCUCACAAUCAAAGGGAAGAGAUUUCAAAAGGGUACGAACAUCAGGAGGAGAGGAUCAUUGGGGGUUAUCUUAGAGUCUGCCUGCUACAAUUUCCUUCCUUCUCUCCUCCUCUUGCUCCAAAAUAGGCGCUUCGAACAUUGUGAUAUAUGGAUCAUCUUUUCUGAAAUGGUUGUUAAUCUAAAGACAACAUGUAAACUGCGUAGUGAAGGUUUAAAUACUUGCUCUCUCCUGCUUGCCUGUUUUCAACUUCUCCACGCUUUUGCUAUGCCAUUUUCACUCCUUGAAAUGGAGAACCUCCCCUUCUAUAGAACUGCCAGUCAGUAGAAGACAUUGGCCUAGUACAGAACAUAGACUCUGGAGCCAGAGAGCUGUUUUCCACGUGUUCACUGCCAUCUUUUACAGGUUAGGUUAUUUGACCUUGCUGUGCAUCAGUUUCCUCAUCUGUAAAAUAGAGAUAUCAGAAGUAUCAAAUUCAUAGGAUUAUUGUAAGGCUUAAAUGAUUUAAUAUUUCUAAAGCAUAAACAAUGUCUGGCAUGAUUAUAAGUAUUAUAUAAGCAUUUGCUAUUAAUUUUACUUGAUUCUUGAACUUUUGCUCGUUCUUGAGAUUCACUAUAUGUUUAUUCUUCUGCCCCUGCUUUACAACCUGUUUCCCUAACAUUUAAAAUGUGUCUAAUCUGUUACCAUCCAAGUUCAUAGCUUCUAAUAUACAAAGCACUUUCUAUUGUUUUCUAUCUCUGAGCUGACCCCUAGUGACUCUGCCCAAUUCCCAUUUAUGGCCCGAUAUGGCAUAUGCAGUGAGGUUAUUCCUGUGACUUAUCUAGCUAAUGAUCAAUAGUGUUAGGGCCACAUCAGGGCAUCUUUUACUCCACUAGAUUCUGAAAAAAUGCUCCAUGGAAAGUAAGGAAUGAUUUUGGCUAAUAAGAAUUGAUCAGAGGUAUUGUGAAACUAAAGCAGCUUUGAAAUUCAUUUGCAUGGGUUCUUCGAAUGUCUGAGAAGAAUGUAC
rnacentral:lncRNA from 1 species